UACAGAGGGUGCAAGCGUUAAUCGGAAUUACUGGGCGUAAAGCGUGCGUAGUCGGUUAUCUAAGUCGGGUGUGAAAUCCCCGGGCUCAACCUGGGAAUUGCAUUCGAUACUGGAUAGCUAGAGUUCGGCAGAGGGAAGCGGAAUUUCGGGUGUAGCGGUGAAAUGCGCAGAUAUCAGGAGGAACACCGGUGGCGAAGGCGGUGCUCUGGGCCAGUACUGACGCUGAGGAGCGAAAGCGUGGGGAGCAAACAGG
rnacentral:rRNA from 1 species